rnacentral:rRNA from 1 species
CCUACGGGGGGCUGCAGUGGGGAAUCUUGCGCAAUGGGCGAAAGCCUGACGCAGCAACGCCGCGUGGGGGAUGAAGGCUCUCGGGUUGUAAACCCCUUUCAGCAGGGACGAAUCAAGACGGUACCUGCAGAAGAAGCCCCGGCUAACUACGUGCCAGCAGCCGCGGUAACACGUAGGGGGCAAGCGUUGUCCGGAUUUAUUGGGCGUAAAGAGCUCGUAGGCGGCUGAGUAAGUCGGGUGUUAAAUCCCCAGGCUCAACCUGGGACACCACCCGAUACUGCUCUGGCUAGAGUCCGGUAGGGGAGCGUGGAAUUCCUGGUGUAGCGGUGAAAUGCGCAGAUAUCAGGAGGAACACCAGCGGCGAAGGCGGCGCUCUGGGCCGUAACUGACGCUGAGGAGCGAAAGCGUGGGUAGCAAACAGGAUUAGAUACCCCAGUAGUC